rnacentral:rRNA from 1 species
AUUAGCCAUGCUAGUCGCACGAGUUUAGACUCGUGGCAUAUAGCUCAGUAACACGUGGCCAAACUACCCUACAGACCGCAAUAACCUCGGGAAACUGAGGCCAAUAGCGGAUAUCACUCUCAUGCUGGAGUGUCGAGAGUGAGAAACGUUCCGGCGCUGUAGGAUGUGGCUGCGGCCGAUUAGGUAGAUGGUGGGGUAACGGCCCACCAUGCCGAUAAUCGGUACAGGUUGUGAGAGCAAGAGCCUGGAGACGGUAUCUGAGACAAGAUACCGGGCCCUACGGGGCGCAGCAGGCGCGAAACCUUUACACUGCACGACAGUGCGAUAGGGGGACUCCGAGUGUGAGGGCAUAUAGCCCUCGCUUUUCUGAACCGUAAGGUGGUACAGGAACAAGGACUGGGCAAGACCGGUGCCAGCCGCCGCGGUAAUACCGGCAGUCCAAGUGAUGGCCGAUAUUAUUGGGCCUAAAGCGUCCGUAGCUUGCUGUGUAAGUCCAUUGGGAAAUCGACCAGCUCAACUGGUCGGCGUCCGGUGGAAACUACACAGCUUGGGGCCGAGAGACUCAACGGGUACGUCCGGGGUAGGAGUGAAAUCCUGUAAUCCUGGACGGACCACCAAUGGGGAAACCACGUUGAGAGACCGGACCCGACAGUGAGGGACGAAAGCCAGGGUCUCGAACCGGAUUAGAUACCCGGGUAGUCCUGGCUGUAAACAAUGCUCGCUAGGUAUGUCACGCGCCAUGAGCACGUGAUGUGCCGUAGUGAAGACGAUAAGCGAGCCGCCUGGGAAGUACGUCUGCAAGGAUGAAACUUAAAGGAAUUGGCGGGGGAGCACACAACCGGAGGAGCCUGCGGUUUAAUUGGACUCAACGCCGGACAUCUCACGGUCCCGACAGUAGUAUGACAGUCAGGUUGACGACUUACUCGA